CGAACGUUAGCGGCGGGCUUAACACAUGCAAGUCGAGCGAGAAAGGGGCUUCGGCCCUGAGUACAGCGGCGGACGGGUGAAUAACACGUAGGUAACCUUCCUUUCAGCGGGGGACAACGGUCCGAAAGGACCGCUAAUACCGCAUACGUUCCCUGGGACCUCGGUCCUGGGGAGGAAAGGCCCGCAAGGGCCACUGGAUGAGGGGCCUACGUAGCAUCAGCUAGUUGGUGGGGUAAUGGCCUACCAAGGCGAAGACGCUUAGCUGGUCUGAGAGGAUAAUCAGCCACACUGGGACUGAGACACGGCCCAGACUCCUACGGGAGGCAGCAGUGGGGAAUAUUGGACAAUGGGCGCAAGCCUGAUCCAGCCACGCCGCGUGAGUGAUGAAGGCCUUCGGGUCGUAAAGCUCUUUUGGCGGGGACGGAUAAUGACGGUACCCGCAGAAUAAGCCCGGCUAACUUCGUGCCAGCAG
rnacentral:rRNA from 1 species